UUGGAGGGCAAGUCUGGUGCCAGCAGCCGCGGUAAUUCCAGCUCCAAUAGCGUAUAUUAAAGUUGCUGCAGUUAAAAAGCUCGUAGUUGAAUUUCGGGACCAUCAUGUCGGUCGUGCCUCGGUACGUACUGGUAUUGUUGGUUUCUCCCUUCUGACGAACCAUGAUGUCAUUUAUUUGGUGUUGUGGGGAAUCAGGACUGUUACUUUGAAAAAAUUAGAGUGCUUAAAGCAGGCUCACGCUUGAAUACAUUAGCAUGGAAUAAUGAAAUAGGACGUUUGAUUCUAUUUUGUUGGUUUCUAGGAUCGACGUAAUGAUUAAUAGGGAUAGUUGGGGGCAUUAGUAUUCAAUUGUCAGAGGUGAAAUUCUUGGAUUUAUUGAAGACUAACUACUGCGAAAGCAUUUGCCAAGGAUGUUUUCAUUAAUCAAGAACGAAAGUUAGGGGAUCGAAGACGACCAGAUACCGUCGUAGUCUUAACCAUAAACUAUGCCGACUAGGGAUCGGAUGAUGUUAAUUUUUUAAUGACUCAUUCGGCGCCUUACGGGAAAC
rnacentral:rRNA from 1 species